AGUCUACGGGAGGCAGCAGUGAGGAAUAUUGGUCAAUGGGCGCAAGCCUGAACCAGCCAAGUAGCGUGGAGGAUGACUGCCCUAUGGGUUGUAAACUCCUUUUAUGCGGGGAUAAAAUGUUUCACGUGUGAGAUAUUGCAGGUACCGCAUGAAUAAGGACCGGCUAAUUCCGUGCCAGCAGCCGCGGUAAUGACU
rnacentral:rRNA from 1 species